rnacentral:lncRNA from 1 species
GCUAUUGUUCCUGAGCUGGCACUGUUUGAAUUGGUUCUUGUUUACCCUUCUGAACCUACAUCCAUCAGGCUGUCAGUGCAGACGUCCACAUUUACAUAACUAAUGGCGAUCCUGCUUGGUGUCAUUUCAGUUGCCGCCAUGACUGGAGAUCUCGUUUAUACACUGGUGACCUUCCAAAUUCAGCGUCUAUUAAUUCAAUCCCUGGGUCCUUCAAGUUCAAACUGCAAAAUUUCUGUUCUUUCAAUGAGUAACUGCAAACUCAAACUGGAUGUUCAUAGUGCGAAGAAAGACCCUUGCAAUACAAAGGUGAUUUGAAGGCUGAAUCGAGAGAUGUUUAGUCAUUCAGGAUUCAGGCCGACACACCCCUAAUUUCAAAGGAGGCAGAAAAUCAGGGGGGCGCAUUUAUGCCAAAUACUCAGGAGGCAGAUGGUAAGUAAAAUUUGGUGAAUAAUACUAAUUACUACCCCAGGGGAUAAUGAUAGUAUUCAUGCCAUAGAAUUUUUGUGUGUAUUUAACGAGAUCAUGCUUGGAAAGUACCAAUCACAUAGGAAGUGUUAGCUAUUAAUGAUAGCAAUAAGCAGCUCCAUUUUCUCAAAAG